rnacentral:rRNA from 1 species
UACAGAGGUCCAAAGCGUUGUUCGGAUUCACUGGGCGUAAAGGGUGCGUAGGUGGUGGGGUAAGUCGGAUGUGAAAUCUCCGAGCUCAACUCGGAAACUGCAUUGGAAACUACCCUGCUAGAGGGUCGGAGGGGGGACUGGAAUACUUGGUGUAGCAGUGAAAUGCGUAGAUAUCAAGUGGAACACCAGUGGCGAAGGCGAGUCCCUGGACGACUCCUGACACUGAGGCACGAAAGCUAGGGGAGCAAACAGG